GUAACAAGGUCUCCGUUGGUGAACCAGCGGAGGGAUCAUUACCGAGUUUACAACUCCCAAACCCUUUGUGAACCUUACCUAUCGUUGCUUCGGCGGGACCGCCCCGACGGCCACCUCGGUGGUCCCGGAACCAGGCGCCCGCCGAAGGCCCCAAACUCUUUGUUUCCUAUGGUUUUCUCCUCUGAGUGGAAAAUAAACAAAUAAAUAAAAACUUUCAACAACGGAUCUCUUGGUUCUGGCAUCGAUGAAGAACGCAGCGAAAUGCGAUAAGUAAUGUGAAUUGCAGAAUUCAGUGAAUCAUCGAAUCUUUGAACGCACAUUGCGCCCGCCAGUAUUCUGGCGGGCAUGCCUGUUCGAGCGUCAUUUCAACCCUCAGGCCCCCAGUGCCUGGCGUUGGGGAUCGGCCGCUGGCGUCCUUCGGGGCGCCUGGCCGGCCCCGAAAUCUAGUGGCGGUCUCGCUGUAGUCCUCCUCUGCGUAGUAGCACAACCUCGCAGUUGGAACGCGGCGGUGGCCAUGCCGUUAAACACCCCACUUCUGAAAGUUGACCUCGGAUCAGGUAGGAAUACCCGCUGAACUUA
rnacentral:rRNA from 1 species